rnacentral:lncRNA from 1 species
UGAAACUCACAAAAAUAUUGUAACAAAAUUUGUAUUAAGUUAGACAAAAAAAAACAACCUAAAAGCAUAUUGUACUAAUUUUGAAAUAUAUUUGGAUAUGGUGUCAUCAAUUACAAUUCAAAUUUUCUUAUUUUUAAAUGGUGUAGUACUAACAAGAUCUUUAUACUACAAUUCUGUUAACGAAAAAAGUUUAGAUAAGAUGAACUUUUAUAGCACUACCAAGGAUAAUAGCACUACCAAGGAUAAUAGCACUACCAAGGAUAACAGUUUCAAUAGAUCAUGUAUUAUAUACCAAGGUGGUGUUUGCUCUGAAUAUUUAUCUAAUGAAACCAAGUUUAGUAACAGUACAGUUCUUCGAUAUGUGGACUAUAAAUUAGGUGUUGACAAGACUAAUGAUGCAUUCAUUCGGUUUUUAAAGGCUGCCAAUUCAACAGGGGGUUCUACAACAUGCAAAAACUAUCUUUUUCUCUCUUUGUGUAGAUUUGGGAUACCUAACUGCUUUAAUGAUAAAUAUCCCCUGAAGGUUUGUCGGGAAGACUGUGAGUUUGUUUUUAAAGAAUGUAAAGAACACUUUUCAAAAUUUAUUGGUGCUGCUAAUUAUAUUGCAAUAGUCGAUGAAUUAAAUUUUGAACAUUUAGCAAUUCCUCAGAAUUGCAACGAUUUUUUAUAUUCUUAUGAUAACAGUUCCUGUCAAUAUGUCUUUGAUUGGAUAGAUCGAAGUCGACCAUUAAAAAAGAAAAGUUUUCGGAUCAAAGUUUUUUUUAUUCCUAUUAUCGCAUUGAUUGUUUUGUUAAUUAUGAUUGUAAUUACAAUUUUGCUUCGUCGCAAAUGUACAAAAAAAAAAAGAAAAGGUGAACAAAAAGUUUCAUUUCAAGAACUAAAUACAAUGACAUCAAUUCGUGACCAUAUACGUGAAAAUGCAUUCAAUAACAAUCCAUUGCAAGAGUUGCUUGCAUCUGUAGAACCAGGUGAAAUUAUCCAGUAUCCGCUAGAUUGUGUGGAGUAUAUACGUGACCUUGGUGAAGGUCAAUUUGGAAAGGUUUUUCAAGGGCGAAUACAUGGUGUGGUAAAAGAAGAGGAAAGUACCGAUGUUGCUGUAAAAUGUUUAAAGCAAGGAUCGUCACUUCAAGUACUUGAAGCAUUUAAUAAAGAAGUGAAAUUGAUGUCUGCAUUAAAGCAUUCAAACAUUUUAAGGUUGUUAGCUGUUUCUACUGAAGAAGAGCCAUAUUGUAUGAUAUUUGAAUUUAUGGAAAAUGGCGACUUGAAUGAAUACUUAAGAAAAAAUAAAGAUACUGCGAUGUUAAGUGACAGUGACCUGAUUACAAUAUGCAAGCAUAUAGCUUCUGGAAUGAAUCACCUAGCAUCAAAGAAAUUUGUUCAUCGAGAUUUAGCUACAAGAAACUGUUUGGUUGGAAAAGACUUAUUAGUAAAAAUUGCUGAUUUUGGAAUGUCAAGAGAUAUAUAUCAUAGUGAUUAUUAUAGAGUUGGAGGGGAAGCUUUGUUGCCUAUUCGUUGGAUGCCUCCUGAAGCUAUUCUGUAUGGAAAAUUUACUGUUGCUACAGAUAUUUUUUCAUUUGGUGUAACAAUGUGGGAAGUGUUUACUUUUGGUAUGCAACCUUUUUAUGGAUACACAAAUGAGGAAGUAGUUGAGUUUAUUAAAAAGGGAGUUUUACUUCCAAUGCCAGAUGAUUGUCCUCAAUGGAUUUAUGAGAUUAUGAUAAAAUGCUGGAAACAUGAUCCAGAGGAACGAAUUCUUUUUGCAGACAUUCUGAAGCUACUUAAAGGUCAAUUUAUUGAUCACGAAUUACCUAAUCAAGAAGAUUGCAAUGUUUUACCCUCAUGUCAUGAAACAUAUGACUCUGUUCCAAAUAGAGGAAUGCAAGAGUGCUCAACUUAUGACACUGUUCAUAGUAGUAAAGAUGUUGAACCUCAUUUUAGUGAAAAAAAUUUAUAUUAUAAUAAUACAGCUAUUGAAGAAUCGUCUGAUUGCAAAGGCAUUAUUGUUCAAGACAUUUGCUCUGGUAAUACGAGUCCUCAAGGACCUUCAUAUUACAAUAUCACAAAAAUAGAUAAAGCUUUGUUAACCCCUCAUUACCAUAAUCUACCUACAUGUUCGAAUUCUCACUAUCAAAAUGUCCCUCCAAAUACCCCAACGGAGUUAGGUAUUCCAAAUCCUAUGUAUGAUGAAGUAGCUAGUUUGGAGUCUAAAGAAACUUCCAAAAAACUGUUAAAUGUCUCCUCCGUAAAAGUUCAGAGAACGAGUGAUAAAUAUGAAAACCUAAACAGAGCCCAAACUUUAGCUGGCGUUCGUUCUAUCAAAGAUGUAUUAAACGACGCAGAACGGUAUAUUAAAGAAGAUAAUAUUCGAAAAAGUAGUGUGAGCGUUUUCAGCUGAUUGUUUUGUCGCAAAUCUUUAGUAACUGCAAAAAAAAAUUUUAAUUUGAAGAGUUUUUGAAAAAGUUGCCCUAUAUACAAAACGAACGUUUUUAGUACAUAUGGUAACUUAUUAUAUAAAGCGGUAAUAACAGCUAUGCAAAAAUUUUUGCAUCAGUCGUAUAAUGCAUCUCGUUUGAAAAGUUUUGCAUCAGAGUCUCUCUUUUGUUACAGAUUUGCCAAAAACGUAUUAAAGCACGCGCAUUUUACAAAUUAAAAAAAAUUUGUAUUUUUUUAAUGAUUAUUUUAUGUUUAUUUUUUUCAAUUAUAGUAUCAAAAGGUUCAAAA